UUGUUUUGUUAAGUUUUCGUUGAUCUUUUGUAAUAUACUCUCCUCACACAUGCCAUAUAUACCUUUACUUACUGUACAUUGCUUUGUGUGUGUGUGUAAAACUAUUUAAAUUAUAUUGAUGCCCAAGGACGUGUUUAGGGAUACAGAUUCAUGGAUAAAUGAAACUCUCAAUACAGAGAAUCGAUUCAGUAAUUUUUUAAAGCAAAUAUAUUAGUGAUGAGGUUAAGAGAUAGAAGGAGCAGUCACCAUGCAGGGAGCUAAUAAUUAAUUUUUGGCUAAUUCAUGUAUCUUGUGUAAGAGCUUGAAAACUUAUUAUGGGAACUUCAUGUGUAGUUGCCAUGUCUAUACCUGUGAUCCUUGCAUGGCUCCCUCUGAUUACAGCAUUGUGUGUGUGUGGUAGCUUAAUUGUGCACAGAAGGUUGAAAGGAGAUACGAUUGCAACAUAAAAGUACACACCAACUGAUAAGGAGAUAGUAUAAGUAGUUUAGCUUUACAGUUGAAAGAGGCUUUUUGGGGUUUGGAAGUGAGAGUGAAGAGACUGCAGACCAGCCGUCGAGUGAAACACUGAAUAAAAUGUACAGCUGUGCGGCAAUUUCUUUGUUGUGUUCUUGUACGACUAGCCUACCCCUAUCUAACCAUCAGGGACUGACGCGUUGGUUACAUUUCUUCAGUGUCAACUACACCAACUACAAAAGAAAUCCUUGACACACGGCAAAGAAGAAUGUAACAGAAGCCAAGAAUCAGCUCUUGCAGACAAAAGAACAAACUUCAUGCCUGUAAACCACGCACAGAAACUGGUGGUUUGGGUUUGGCUCUGCAAAAUAUAAAAGGAUUGUAGACUGUAUAUUAAAAUUUUUUUUAAAUAGCACCUUUCUUCUUUUUCAAAUGCAGUUUAAAGUUUUAUUUUAUUACAGAUAUGCCAACAUUGUUAUGAGUUCUCUUCUUUAAAUGAUUGUUAAGGAUAUUAAAAGUACAAAAUUUCGUGGAGGUUUAACAUCUACUUUGAUGUACAAUGACUAAAACAACUUUAAAUGAACAUUUUGUCAUCAUUAUGAAGGUUGUUACAUCAAAUCCAUUGUGUUAUCAGCAUUGCUAUGAUGUCAUCACAAAUAGCCACCACCAUAUGUCUCCUUUCCUUCCCUCCUCUCUCAACAUAGUUUUGUCAUAACAGUGAACCAAGGAAGUAAACUAUACAUGUGUGUACUCUAGAGGAGGUCCCAGGUUCACCAAGCAAUUUCUUAAAUACAUAUAUUUUCCAGCUGCCCACUAAAUGCCAAUCAUUUUUUUUAGAUCCCCUCUUGGUAUGGCU